UUAGUAUAAAAGUUUAAGCAAAAAUUUAAUGAGAUUGCUUCUGUGUGUCGAGCUUCUGUCCCUUCACCUACAAUCAGCACCAAUUGAUUAGACUUGUUCUGUUUUGUUUCAGAGGAAAGUGGUUCUACUAUUUUUAUUCCACCCUGUCUCUAGAGGUAAAGGGAUGAUGUCAAGCAGUCUGCCGUAUUCUCUGGAGGGAAAAGCCAACGCCUUCUUCAGAUUCUACUUUCUUUCUAAUCCAAGACUUUAGGUCAGCUACAGUUUCACAAGCAGCACUGGACAUUGCAGGCCUCCCUGUGCAGGGGCUUGGCUCUCCUAAAUGUAAUGGCAUGGGAGAACAAAGCACGUGCAUCCUGUGAGCAGCCUGUCCAAAGCAAGGAAAGAGGAAGAGUGUGGCCUGGGCUAGUGUAGUUUAUUCCUGUAUCUAACGUCAUCAUAAGGGUCUUCUGUUUGAUCUGCAGCAAGAAGAAAACACUGCUCCUCUACUACAUGAUGCACUUGCCUCCAGUUUCCGGAGUUUGUUCCUCCCUGUUUUCAGAUACCAUGCCUCCUACCACUCCGUUUUUCUGGGGUUCCUUCAACUUCUUUCUGGAGCUGCCAGGAAAAAAAAAAAACAUGUUCCUUUUGCAUACAGAAAAAAAUAAUAAGCUUUCAGAUCAUGGCAACUUCGUCUUUCACAACCAAAAAGGAUUGUCAAGGUAUUUCCUAAAU